GACGAACGCUGGCGGCGUGCUUAACACAUGCAAGUCGAACGGAAAGGCCCUGCUUUUGUGGGGUGCUCGAGUGGCGAACGGGUGAGUAACACGUGAGUAACCUGCCCUUGACUUUGGGAUAACUUCAGGAAACUGGGGCUAAUACCGGAUAGGAGCUCCUGCUGCAUGGUGGGCGUUGGAAAGUUUCGGCGGUUGGGGAUGGACUCGCGGCUUAUGAGCUUGUUGGUGGGGUAGGGGUUUACCAAGGCUUUGACGGGUAGCCGGCCUGAGAGGGUGACCGGCGACAUUGGGACUGAGAUACGGCGCAGACGCGUACGGGAGGCAGCAGGGGGGAGUAUUGCACAGUGGGCGGAAGCCUGAGGCAGCAACGCCGCGUGCGGGAUGACGGCCUUCGGGUUGUAAACCGCUGUCGCCUGUGACGAAGCGUGAGUGACGGUAAUGGGUAAAGAAGCACCGGCUAACUACGUG
rnacentral:rRNA from 1 species